rnacentral:miRNA from 1 species
GAGGGAACCGGGGGGGGGCACGGA